rnacentral:rRNA from 1 species
UACCAGACUCCUACGGGAGGCAGCAGUGGGGAAUAUUGGGCAAUGGGGGAAACCCUGACCCAGCGACGCCGCGUGAGGGAAGAAGGUUUUCGGAUUGUAAACCUCUGUCCUUGGUGACGAUAAUGACGGUAGCCAAGGAGGAAGCCACGGCUAACUACGUGCCAGCAGCCGCGGUAAUACGUAGGUGGCGAGCGUUGUCCGGAAUUACUGGGUGUAAAGGGAGCGUAGACGGCAGCGCAAGUCUGAAGUGAAAUGCCGGGGCUUAACCCCGGAACUGCUUUGGAAACUGAGCAGCUAGAGUGCAGGAGAGGUAAGUGGAAUUCCUAGUGUAGCGGUGAAAUGCGUAGAUAUUAGGAGGAACACCAGUGGCGAAGGCGGCUUACUGGACUGUAACUGACGUUGAGGCUCGAAAGCGUGGGGAGCAAACAGGAUUAGAUACCCUAGUAA